UACGAAGGGGGCUAGCGUUGCUCGGAAUCACUGGGCGUAAAGGGUGCGUAGGCGGGUUCUUAAGUCAGAGGUGAAAUCCUGGAGCUCAACUCCAGAACUACCUUUGAUACUGAGAGUCUUGAGUUCGGGAGAGGUGAGUGGAACUGCGAGUGUAGAGGUGAAAUUCGUAGAUAUUCGCAAGAACACCAGUGGCGAAGGCGGCUCACUGGCCCGAUACUGACGCUGAGGCACGAAAGCGUGGGGAGCAAACAGG
rnacentral:rRNA from 1 species